CAGUAGCCACGGUAAUACGAAGGGUGCAAGCGUUAAUCGGAAUUACUGGGCGUAAAGCGCACGCAGGCGGUUUGUUAAGUCAGAUGUGAAAUCCCCGAGCUUAACUUGGGAACUGCAUUUGAAACUGGCAAGCUAGAGUCUUGUAGAGGGGGGUAGAAUUCCAGGUGUAGCGGUGAAGUGCGUAGAGAUCUGGAGGAAUACCGGUGGCGAAGGCGACUAUCUGGGCCAACACUGACACUGAGACACGAAAGCGUGGGGAGCAAACAGGAUUAGAUACCCGUGUAGUCCCUGUCUCUUAUAC
rnacentral:rRNA from 1 species